rnacentral:RNase_P_RNA from 1 species
AAGGGUGAAAUGGUGCGGUAAGAGCGCACCGGCGCGGGCGAAAGCCUGCGGCCGGGCAAACCCCACCCGGAGCAAGACAGUUGAGGCCGCCGCCAUUGCGCGGCGCGGGCAGCCGGCCCGAUCUCACAGCACGUCGCACGAGGCAUCCGGUGACGGAUGUCCACAGAGAGAUGGUCGUCGCCGCCUUCGGGCGGUUACAGAACCCGGCUUACAGGCGCGCCUCAGCG